rnacentral:lncRNA from 1 species
GUUCUGAGAGGACAGGCUGCUGAUGCUGCUGGGAACAGGUCACCAGACCCUUCUCAGUUCUGUUUUCUCUGGGCUGGCCAAGGCUGCAGACAGGAUACCUUCCACAGCACACAGAAGAGUGUUAGUUAGCGUGUUGUCAUUGCCGUGGAACGCAUGAGGCUGCUAAGGUUGAAGGAGAAAACGUACACUUACCGAGUAGUUUGGAGGACAGGGAUUUGUGACUUUCCUUGGGCCGAUUCACCUCAUGGUGGGUGGGCACUCUGGCUACAACCAUCAAGUGACCAGACCAGAAGCAGAGAGGGCUGGGCUGGGGCUAAACUCAAGUUACAGUCCUUUACUCAGGAACUACUUCCAGAGAGCAUAACUCUGGGGGGCCGGAGGAUCUCCCCUAACCCACACAUCUAAGGGUUUCCAUGAUUUCCUCAUAGCAUCACCCUGCACAAUACCUCUUCAGUCACAAUGCAGCACACAAUUAAACGGCAUUGAUGCCACACAGCAGCAAUACGUGCCACUUAAAACAAGCCACUCUGAGCAAAUGACUACUUUGAAUGCAGCGGACAGAAGAGUAUUCCUGAGCACCCCAUUCACCCAGAAGCAGCAUGUGUCUCAGGGAAUCUGGAGCUCGUCUGUUUGCGAAGUUUGGCUGGCCACUGAGCUUCAGGACCCUUCCUGUCCUACCCGUGUGGUUCCACACCAGCACUGUGCCGCAGACUUGUGCCUGGCCCUGACAUUGGUGCCGCAAUCUGAACUCAGACUCUCAUGCUUUCACGUCAGGUACCAUACCAACCCAACCGCCUUCCUAAACCAUGUCAUUGUGUCUCACACCUGCAUGAUUCACAUUCACACCAUGUGAGGUGUUCUAAGCUGCCCAGAACUGGCUUGCAGGGCUCAGGACAGGAAAAGCUUGGGUGCAGCCUCCAGUUUUAUCCCCCCAGGUCUCACAACUAACUCCUUGUAAAAAGAGGGACAACUGUCCUCUCACAUCUGUCCCUUGCUUGGGAUCUUCUCAGAGUGCUUGGUGUAGCCAUGGUCCUGUGCAUCUGUACUUGGGGAGUUCAGAAGCACCCAAGUCCUAGAUUCCUCUUCAUCUGCAUCCCUGUUUUCAUUUGCCCCUUGGUUGCCAGGAGAGUACAUGUGGCCCCUGACACUACACAAACUCACCUCUCCACCCAAUUAGCUCUGACCACUGCCAGCUCUUAGACUGGAAGUCUUGGGUCAUUUUUGAGGUUUUUCUUUUUCUCUGGUGUUAAGAAUGCCACAGGACUGUUAUAAUGCUACAAAAAUUUUACAUCUCCUUUAGUCUUUUAAAAUUAUUUCAUAAUAGAAACAGUCAUUAAGUCUUCCAACCAAAAAAAAAAAAGCCCAGGACCAGAUGGGUUUAGUGCAGAGUUCUAUCUGAUCUUCAAAGAAGACCUAAUACCAAUACUCUUCAUACUAUUCCACAAAAUAGAAACAGAAAGAACACUACCCAGGUCAUUCUAUGAAGCCACAGUUACACUGCGUAUUCCCCCUUAGAGAUGGAAUGGAUUCUGUCCAAUCAGGAACCUGUCACAAUUUCCUUUCAUAAAGGACUUCAUAAGAGAU